UACGAAGGGGGCUAGCGUUGUUCGGAAUUACUGGGCGUAAAGCGCACGUAGGCGGAUAUUUAAGUCAGGGGGUGAAAUCCCAGAGCUCAACUCUGGAACUGCCUUUGAUACUGGGUAUCUCGAGUAUGGAAGAGGUGAGUGGAAUUCCGAGUGUAGAGGUGAAAAUUCGUAGAUAUUCGGAGGAACACCAGUGGCGAAGGCGGCGACCUGGUCCGUGACUGACGCUGAGGCGCGAAAGCGUGGGGAGCAAACAGG
rnacentral:rRNA from 1 species